rnacentral:rRNA from 1 species
UACGAAGGGGGCUAGCGUUGUUCGGAAUCACUGGGCGUAAAGCGCACGUAGGCGGAUGUGUCAGUCAGGGGUGAAAUCCCGGAGCUCAACUCCGGAACUGCCUCUGAUACGGCACGUCUUGAGUUCGAGAGAGGUGGGUGGAAUUCCUAGUGUAGAGGUGAAAUUCGUAGAUAUUAGGAAGAACACCGGUGGCGAAGGCGGCCCACUGGCUCGAUACUGACGCUGAGGUGCGAAAGCGUGGGGAGCAAACAGG